rnacentral:lncRNA from 1 species
GUAAGGACCGCCCCCGGCACGCCUCUCAGCCACCCGUGGAGCCACGCUGGUAGAGCUGUGCAGGGAGCAGAGCGCCCAGGACUGAGCCCAGCUUUACCCUUGCCACCAAGGGCUAAUCCAGGAGUGACUCUGGGGCCGGGGAUUUAGCUCAGUGGUUCUGCCGCCUGCCUCACAAGUCCAAGGACCCGAGUUUGAUCCCCGGUACCAAAAAAAAAAAAAAAAAAGUAACUGUGGAUGUGGACAUCCUCCUCAUGGGGGAUCAGCCACAUAGGAGGAAGCCAUGUUCCUCCAUGGAAUGCAGUUUUUCUCUGCUCACCUCCUGGCAUGUCCAUGUGCGAGGUCUUCCAUCAAGAAGCCCCACGUCUGUGGACACCAUCCCGAGGCAAGGCUCCUGCAGGUGCAGAAACUGAAUUUCUAGAAUUCUGAAUAUGCUGGAGAUACCUGGCCCAGAAAAAGAUGGGUGAGAAUCACAAGCUUGAGAUCAGGUUAUUCUAUCAGUGGCUGACCUAUCCUCUCAGGUGUAAAGAGGGAAAAGUCCACCUAUACCUCACACCCAUGUUCAUUCUUUUUAGUAUGGUAUCAAAUUGAUUGUAGGAAAAGAGAAAUAAAUGAACAAUUUUUGAACCUUUACUUUGACUUUUGAUUCCAACCUUUCCCAUCAUAAUUAAGGUCAAUACAAAAUCAUGUUUGGAAUUUUGCAAUAAAUGACCUCUAAAUGUUUCUACUGAGUGCCCUGAGGUAGGAAGAAGACUUGCAGAAAGUCAGGCUUACAUGGAGGAGUAAGGUAGAUUUACAAGACCAAUAAGUAUAUAGAAAGAACGAGGUCAGGAGGCAUGGUUCAAAAGACGAUCCUACAACUCAGUAUUACAAAAUCUUAACUCUUACAGUCUGAUCCACAUAUUAUGAGUUUUUAGAUGAAAAUUCCAUUAGGAAAUUCACAUGGAGCUCACAAGAUCUUACCUAUUUCUUGCUUAGAACUCAAGCUAUGAAAAACUCUGAAAUUUGAUGAAAUAUUAUAUAAUGAUAACAAG